UACAGAGGUCCCGAGCGUUGUUCGGAUUCACUGGGCGUAAAGGGUGCGUAGGUGGUGAGGUAAGUCGGAUGUGAAAUCUCCAGGCUCAACCUGGAAACUGCAUUGGAAACUACCUUGCUGGAGGAUUUGAGGGGGGAUUGGAAUACUUGGUGUAGCAGUGAAAUGCGUAGAUAUCAAGUGGAACACCAGUGGCGAAGGCGACUACCUGGCCUGUUCUUGACGCUGAGGCGCGAAAGCUAGGGGAGCAAACGGG
rnacentral:rRNA from 1 species